CAACCUCAACUCAUAUGGGACUACCCCCUGAAUUUAAGCAUAUUAAUUAAGGGAGGAAAAGAAACUAACAAGGAUUUUCUUAGUAGCGGCGAGCGAAAAGAAAUCAGUUCAGCACUAAGUCACUUUGUCUAUAUGGCAAAUGUGAGAUGCAGUGUACGGAACAUCAACAUUCUAGUAUGAGAAGUUAACGAUUUAAGUCCUUCUUAAAUGAGGCCAUUUACCCAUAGAGGGUGCCAGGCCCGUAUAACGUUAAUGAUUACUAGAUGGUGUUUCCAAAGAGUCGUGUUGCUUGAUAGUGCAGCACUAAGUGGGUGGUAAACUCCAUCUAAAACUAAAUAUAACCAUGAGACCGAUAGUAAACAAGUACCGUGAGGGAAAGUUGAAAAGAACUCUGAAUAGAGAGUUAAAUAGUACGUGAAACUGCUUAGAGGUUAAGCCCGAUGAACCUGAAUAUCCGUUAUGGAAAAUUCAUCAUUAGAAUUGUAAUAUUU
rnacentral:ncRNA from 1 species